rnacentral:tRNA from 1 species
GGUAUUGUGGCUCAGCGGUAGAGCACUUCCCUAGCAUGGGUGGGACCUGAGAUUGAGUCUCAGCACCA